rnacentral:rRNA from 1 species
CCUACGGGUGGCUGCAGUCGAGGAUCUUCGGCAAUGGGCGCAAGCCUGACCGAGCGACGCCGCGUGUGCGAUGAAGGCCUUCGGGUUGUAAAGCACUGUCGAGGGGGAGAAAACCCCGCAAGGGGUUGAUCUAUCCCUGGAGGAAGCACGGGCUAAGUUCGUGCCAGCAGCCGCGGUAAGACGAACCGUGCGAACGUUGUUCGGAAUCACUGGGCUUAAAGGGCGCGUAGGCGGGCUGCCAAGUCUGGGGUGAAAUCCCACGGCUCAACCGUGGAACUGCCUCGGAUACUGGCGGCCUCGAGGGGGGUAGGGGCGUGCGGAACUGUGGGUGGAGCGGUGAAAUGCGUUGAUAUCCACAGGAACUCCGGUGGCGAAGGCGGCACGCUGGACCUCUUCUGACGCUGAGGCGCGAAAGCCAGGGGAGCAAACGGGAUUAGAUA